rnacentral:rRNA from 1 species
GAUGAACGCUGGCGGCGUGCCUAAUACAUGCAAGUCGAGCGAACGGACGCGAAGCUUGCUUCUCUGAUGUUAGCGGCGGACGGGUGAGUAACACGUGGAUACCCUACCUUUAAGACUGGGAUAACUUCGGGAAACCGGAGCUAAUACCGGAUAAUAUUUUGAACCGCAUGGUUCAAAAGUGAAAGACGUUCUUGCUGUCACUUAUAGAUGGAUCCGCGCUGCAUUAGCUAGUUGGUAAGGUAACGGCUUACCAAGGCAACGAUGCAUAGCCGACCUGAGAGGGUGAGCGGCCACACUGGAACUGAGACACGGUCCAGACUCCGACGGGAGGCAGCAGUAGGGAAGCUGCCGAAAUGGGCGAAAGCCUGACGGAGCAACGCCGCGUGAGUGAUGAAGGUCUUCGGAUCGUAAAACUCUGUUAUUAGGGAAGAACAUAUGUGUAAGUAACUGUGCACAUCUUGACGGUACCUAAUCAGAAAGCCACGGCUAACUACGUG